AUUGAACGCUGGCGGCAUGCCUUACACAUGCAAGUCGAACGAGAACGGAUUAUAGCUUGCUAUAAUUGUCAGCUAAGUGGCGCACGGGUGAGUAAUGUAUAGGUAAUAUGCCUCUUACUAAGGGAUAACAAAUGGAAACGUUUGCUAAUACCUUAUACUCCUUAUUAACAGAAGUUAAUAAGGGAAAGAUUUAUUGGUAAGAGAUUAGCCUGUAUUGUAUCAGUUAGUUGGUGGGGUAAUGGCUUACCAAGACUAUGACACAUAACUGGUUUGAGAGGAUGAUCAGUCACACUGGAACUGAGACACGGUCCAGACUCCUACGGGAGGCAGCAGUGGGGAAUAUUGCACAAUGGACGAAAGUCUGAUGCAGCAACGCCGCGUGGAGGAUGACACAUUUCGGUGCGUAAACUCCUUUUAUAUGAGAAGAUAAUGACGGUAUUAUAUGAAUAAGCACCGGCUAACUCCGUGCCAGCAGCCGCCGUAA
rnacentral:rRNA from 1 species